GACGAACGCUGGCGGCGUGCUUAGCACAUGCAAGUCGAACGGAAAGGCCCUGCUUUUGUGGGGUGCUCGAGUGGCGAACGGGUGAGUAACACGUGAGUAACCUGCCCUUGACUUUGGGAUAACUUCAGGAAACUGGGGCUAAUACCGGAUAGGAGCUCCUGCUGCAUGGUGGGGGUUGGAAAGUUUCGGCGGUUGGGGAUGGACUCGCGGCUUAUCAGCUUGUUGGUGGGGUAGUGGCUUACCAAGGCUUUGACGGGUAGCCGGCCUGAGAGGGUGACCGGCCACAUUGGGACUGAGGUACGGCCCAGACUCAUACGGGAGGCAGCAGUGGGGAAUAUUGCACAAUGGGCGGAAGCCUGAUGCAGCAACGCCGCGUGCGGGAUGACGGCCUUCGGGUUGUAAACCGCUUUCGCCUGUGACGAAGCGUGAGUGACGGUAAUGGGUAAAGAAGCACCGGCUAACUACGU
rnacentral:rRNA from 1 species